GAGGGGAUCUCUGUGGAGAUCCCUGUGUGUCUGGAGCUUUCUGAAGGACACAUACGUUUCCCUUCUGAUCUCUAGAACGGGCUGUUGAGAAUGAUUGCUGUCCGAAUUCUCUGCAUCCCAUCACCUCACUGUGUAAUUACCUUCCCAGUGACAUUAUGGAUGGCUGCAGCCAAUGGUUCUGUUGGGUCCCUGCAUCCUUCAGCUGCCGUUUAACACAAUCAUUUCCUUUUGCUGGCUAUAAAUACAUUUGAAUUCUCUGACCUCGUGCUCCAACAUCGUUCUCAAAGGCAGAAUUAUUUCUUAUUCUGUUGUUCUUCAGCUCACUGUGGCCUCGAAGCUCCCUCAGCCCAACAGGUGUGCAGAGCAGGAGGCUUGCAGCAGGCUGGGAUGAGGCCCUGGUAGGAGCACCCUCUGGCCCAGCCCCCAGUGACAAUUAAGUUGCCAAUUAGCAAAUUAUCGUGCCCGUGGGCAAGCAUGCUCCUGGAGCCAUGAGUGCUGCGUGGAUGUUUGCAAACUCACUGCUGUGCUGCUACUUGUGCCUUUGUGCAUCUCCUCCUGCAGCAGCUCCCGGUGUGUCUGUAGGUCUGCAGCCCAUACAGCACCAGGGACGUGUCCACCAGCUCCUGAAUCAGAUACGUGGCUCCUCUCAUUGACAGCAAUUUGCUUGCGUAAAUAAUUAAGACUAUGGUCUCUGAUGACUUGCUCCUCGUAUUCGCCACUAAUCCCAGUCUUUUGCUGAAUAUCUGUUUCUUAAUAAUUGCAUCUGUUUUACACUCUGUUCUUUGGUGUACGAUCACUUAUUAGCAAACCUAUUACUGCUCAGAUGUUCUGCUCGCUGUGACCUUGUCCCUAAACCUCUCUGCCUCUCUUCCCUAUUAAAUCACCACACUGUAACUGUGCUGGAGUGGAAGGAAUUUACUGCUUAAAUAAUUUAUCUAGAUUCAGUACAGAAAGUCUUUGAAGAGAUUCAUCAGCUAAUAAAGAAAAUUGAUUCUGGAAGCCAAAGUCAAUACGGGGUUAGAGAAACACCAUCACCCUCAUGUGGGCUCUCUUCCAGAAGCCUCCGUUCGGGCUGUGAUCCUUCCUAAGCACCUCCAGCUUUCCCAGGCCAUGCUGGGGCUCUGUACCCCACAGCUGAUGUGCUCAGCAAGGCUUUGUCCAGUGCUGUGAGGGCAGAGGAGCAGUGAGCACAGAGCUGGGGAGAGCCUCAGCCCUCCUGAGCGCAUGGCUCUGCUCCAAGGGGGUGCUGUGCUCUGCAUGAAGGGAUGCACAUCCUCUGUAUGGUCUGAAUGUCAUCACUGCAUACGUGUAAGCAAUGGAACAACCAAGAUACAGCUCAGAUGUGCCCUGAGAAAAGCAAGUGGGGAGUGAUGUGUGAUGGGGACGCGGAGAGAAGUGGCGCCUUCUGUGGCGGCCCAUAGAAGAUAAAAAGAAAUAAAUAAAAAUGGCCAAAGGAAAAAAAAAGAUGGAAGAAAACUUGGCAGCAACGUUUGGACAUAUGGCUAAUUUGUGCUUCAUGGGUAUUUCUCCAUAUGUUGCACGUAUAUGUGUUUGUUUACCCCCUACACGGAUUACAUGCCAGCAAUAGUCUCAAAGCCAUCAAAAUUACCUUGUAAAAGACUGAGCAGCUUCAGGUACUCCUGGCACACCCCCAGGUGUCCCUCAUGAGCUAUCUGGCCAACCCACCUCGAUGGCUUUGAGAAACAGCAUGGCACAUCUGAGCACCCCAAGCAGUGCACCGUGUGUGCAGGGCUGUCUGGCUGCAGGGACGUGAGGACUCAGUGCCCGUUCUCUGACAGCCCCAUGCUGCAUGCAGGGAGCAGAGCCUCUUCUCCCUCCUUGUUGCUCUGCUGGAGGCCUAUGUAGCCAUCAAUAAUGCAGGUGCCUGCAGCUGGCAGCAGGCUGAUGACCAGCUAAUGGGCACUGGGCUCAUUGUGUCCUGCUUGCACUUUGCAGCACACAGCCCCCCCACCCAGGAGCAUGUUGGCUUGCUACCCUGCAGCUGCAGGCUCAGCUCUGCAGGAACUUCAAUGCAAAACACUGGAAGAAGUCUGAGCUCGCUGCAGUCGUCAGAACCCAAAAACAUCGUCUCUGCAGGCUUGAUUUAAGCUGAAAAUCCAGACCCAUUUCCUGGGUACAAAUCAUUCGAGUGAGAUGAAACAAUCAAUGGAAGAUAUCAUCUGUGAUUCGCCUCCUCGGCCAAAACCAUCUCGGCGGUGAGCACAAACUCAUUAGAAGUGUGAUUAAUGGGGUGUGAAGGCUGGAGCCGGGGUAGCCCAGCUACCUGCACGCCCUGCUGUGCUCUGCUUGCAGCAGUGGUGUGGCACAGCACGGUGCAGUGGGUGAGUGCUGCUCCAGCAGGGCCACCGGUGUAGGAAAUGACCCAAACCUCUCUGUCUCCUCUUGCAGCACUGAUUCUCAGUCAGUGCUACCAUAGUGUGAAAGGGCAG
ensembl:lncRNA